rnacentral:lncRNA from 1 species
UGGAACUUUUUAACAAAUGCUAGGUCUCCUGGCUGGAAUGAAUGGCAGGACUUUUUCUGGUCAGGAAUUGGAUUGGGAAGGGCUCCUCAAACAAGUGGCAGGAUAAUAUCUUGUACCUGUUGGAGAGAAUAUAGGUACUGUAAUAAAUUAGUUUGUGAUAUUUCUGCUAAUUUCACAUCUCUUCACUUAGGCAAGAGAGGCAGCGCCUUCUUAUACAUGAUUUCAAAGGGUGAGAACUUAGCGUGGUAAGGGGUGCACCUUACUUUAAGUAGAGCUAAAGGAAGGAGACUUACUUAAUUUACACUGGUUUUUAAGAUUUUGUAAGAGUGUUUUUUAGGGUGUGGUUCAUGCGUUGUACUUGCCUGGAGCUCUGAGGUUGAUAGGCACGAUGGAGCUUCUAUUGAAUGUUUAAGGCCUUACUGACUGACUGAGCUAUAGGCGACGUGAAGGCUGUUCUAUUAUCAGACUUUAUGGCAGCAGGCAGCCUAUACUGAACGAUGAUUUCAUUGUGUAAAAACUUAACUACUGUGUUGGUGGUUUCGUUUUCGGUAGCAAAUGCCUUAGUCUAUCUGGAGAAGGUGUCUACUAGUACUAGAAGGCAUUUGUACUUAGCCUGGUGUGGUUUGACUUCUGUAAAGUCAAUUUCUUACUUUUUUCUUGGCGAGGUUUUUCAGAGACAGUGGCCUGGGCUGGGUUUAGGACUUUGUUUGGCAUUUACUUGGGCGCAGGUUGUGAACUGGAGAGCUGCUUAAUCUGUUAGGCUUUGAAGACGGGGGAUCUUAAAAUGGCUCCGCAGGAGCUGAGGUAGCUUUGCUCUUUUUAAGUGGGUGGUAGACUGUAGGUGACGGACUAAAUUUUCUUUAAGGGUUCAGGAUAUGAAGCGUCUAGAGUCAGGAAGAAUCUACUAACUUUCCUGAUUUUUAUUGACUCUGAGAUCUGAAGCCAGUUUUUUGUUGUUGUUGUUGAGUGUACGGGAUUGUCAGGCAGAUCUGGCUGUGGAAAGGAGACUGUGGGCAGCAAGUUUAGAGGCGUGACUGAAAGUCUCGCUGCGACCUGAGCUGCUGAAUCAGGUUUCUGGUUACUAUGGGCAACGGCCGUGUUUUCUUUUUGAUGUCCUUUGCAGUGGAUCACAGCUACCUGCUGAGACAGACAAGGAGAGGGUUUCCUGUGAUGGGAUCAGUCAGAUGCCUGCCUGGCCACUCCCCCUGAGGGGACCUGGGCUCCUCUUACCAUUGGCAGGCCGGUAUAAACUUGCGGCUCAGAUCAAGCUAUGCCUGAUGCUGCCUUAAGCCUUAUGAGGUCGCCAAGGAACCGCAGGUGAGGAUUCAGGAGAUAAUUCUGCAAACAGAACUUCCUGAGAACUGAGAUGGGGGAAAUCGCUGGUAUUAGAAGAGUGAAAAGAAACUCCUGGAGGGCAGAGGCAUGCCUGCCAUCUUCAUCAAUGCAUUACCACCACCCAACACUAUCGGGGGACCUGCCCUGAUAAUCAGGUAGGUUCUUUUCUAUUUUCCUAAGCGUCGACUGGCUUGAGAAAUAAAAGGACAGAGUACAAAAGAGAGAAAUUUU